rnacentral:rRNA from 1 species
ACGGUCUUGCUGUCACUUAUAGAUGGAUCCGCGCUGCAUUAGCUAGUUGGUAAGGUAACGGCUUACCAAGGCAACGAUGCAUAGCCGACCUGAGAGGGUGAUCGGCCACACUGGAACUGAGACACGGUCCAGACUCCUACGGGAGGCAGCAGUAGGGAAUCUUCCGCAAUGGGCGAAAGCCUGACGGAGCAACGCCGCGUGAGUGAUGAAGGUCUUCGGAUCGUAAAACUCUGUUAUUAGGGAAGAACAUAUGUGUAAGUAACUGUGCACAUCUUGACGGUACCUAAUCAGAAAGCCACGGCUAACUACGUGCCAGCAGCCGCGGUAAUACGUAGGUGGCAAGCGUUAUCCGG